UACGGAGGGAGCUAGCGUUGUUCGGAAUUACUAGGCGUAAAGCGCACGUAGGCGGCUUUGUAAGUUAGAGGUGAAAGCCUGGGGCUCAACUCCAGAACUGCCUUUAAAACUGCAUCGCUUGAAUCCAGGAGAGGUGAGUGGAAUUCCGAGUGUAGAGGUGAAAUUCGUAGAUAUUCGGAAGAACACCAGUGGCGAAGGCGGCUCACUGGACUGGUAUUGACGCUGAGGUGCGAAAGCGUGGGGAGCAAACAGG
rnacentral:rRNA from 1 species